rnacentral:rRNA from 1 species
CCCGGCGGUUACAGCGGAGGGGCCACACCUGUUCCCAUUCCGAACACAGAAGUUAAGCCCUCCAGCGGCGAUGGUACUGCGUGGGCAGCUGCGUGGGAGAGUAGCACGCUGCCGGGU